rnacentral:lncRNA from 1 species
CAACAUUCAGGAAUUAUUCGUUCUUCUCAAAUUCUCUACUAAUCUGAAGUCCCUACAAUGAAUUGUAGAUAUGAAUCAAACUUCUGGUAUCCAAUAUCCAAGUAGUAGUAUCAUAGAUAGAGAAAUUAUAAGAUGUUGUCAUAUAAGUACCUUAUUCAGCAAUCCUUUGCUUAUUUCUCUUCCUAGACCUGUUCAUUUUUGCUUGACUCUGGUCUGUCUUAGACUGCUUAGGAUCAGAAUGAUUUUUCUACACCUUUCAUUUUCUUCCUCUCUCAGAGGAUCAAUGCCCAAUUGAGGAUAAAUCCUCAAGUAUGCCAAAAGAC